ACACAGUUCACUGCAAACAUUUGAUAAUGAGGCUAAAUAUACUCCCGCGUCGGAGGAGGCGUGGGCGUCCCCGCCCAGGCCCGGGAGACAGAGGCGCUGACCCCGGGACAGAGCCUGGCUUUGUGCGGGAGGCAGACGCGCCCCGCGCGCCGCCCCCGAAACAUUCGCACCCCAUGCUGAGGCGCGCGUCUGGGAGUCCGUGGGCGCCCCGAGCGACGUCGAUGGCGCCAGGUGCCAAGCUCUUUCCUUGUAUAAUUUCAUGGACACUCACGCAUCAACUCUAAGCGAAGACUUGGAGCGGGGCUCAGCACCCCAGGGGUACCUCUGCAACCUCGAAAUGAAGUUGAAAAUAGCACAGGAGCCCACUAUCACUGUGUGAACAUUUUGUGAAUGAAGACAUGUAUGAAAGGAUGUUUGGAGGCUUCAAGAAACGAAAGCCGAGAGUCUAGCUAGACCAGAGCCAUCCAGCCCAGGAGCGAUGGCCACGUGUGGCCGCUGGACACGAGAGACGUGGCCAGUCCAAACUGUGCAGUGCGGGGCAGUGGAAGCCGUUGGAGGGCCUCAGGCAGGAACACAAGGUGUCGUGGCAGAAAGGAAGAAGGGGCCGGGCACGGUGGCCCACACCCGUCAUCCCAGCACUUUGGGAGGGAGGCCAAGGCAGGAGGAUCGCUUCAAUCCAGGAGUUCAAGAUCAGCCUGGGCAACACAGCAAGACCCCGUCUCUACUAAAACCCUAAAACUUAGCCAGGCUUGGUGGCAUGUGCCUAAGGUCCCAGGUCCUCGGGAGACUAAGGCAGGAGGAUUGCUUAAGCCCAAGAGUUUGAGGCUGCAGUGAACUAUUAUCACACCACUGCACUCAGCCUGGGUGACAGAGUGACUCUGUCUCAAAACUAAAUAAAUAAACAAUAAUUGUGUUAUUCUGUC
rnacentral:lncRNA from 1 species